ensembl:lncRNA
GUCAAGUCAUCCAUAGUCAAUGUUGUAUAGUACCGCGGUGUAUUGAUUGGCCAUAGAGAACACCUGCCGGUCUUGAGCCAACAAACAUCUGUCAGCAAUAAAGAUGAGCCCCUGUUAUUUUCCUCGAGAGGAGGACGCUUGCACCUGACAAGCUGCUGCAUGUCUCCCAGCAGAGAUGUGAAGCAGUAGAAGGCCUGCAAGCCAACUGACUGCUCUUACAUAUUCCUCAGGAGAAAGGUUGUUCGUACACAUCGGGGCUAAAAAUAGACCACACCCUCCAGGCCUUGGGAAAACCGGACAAGACUGACACCUGGUGGUGGGCUCUGGGAAUGCAGCUAGAACUAGGAAGAGAUCAAUCUUGAGGAUGACCUUCCCC